rnacentral:sRNA from 1 species
GGUUGAUGAGGAUGCUCUCAAGAGGACGACGAACCCAGUGACGGUUGGUGAGGAUGAAAGAGGAUGACCAAACAAGGGUAUAGAGAGAAGGAGGAGCUGUGCUCCCCUGCUGCAUAGAACCUCCAAUCAAGCUCUCAAGGUCCACUUGGAGGAGAACCUAGGCUAGUCGAACUUCCAACACUCUACACACAUCCAUAUAUCAGGCACUGCAUGUGGCAGUCUGCCCUUUUAU